rnacentral:lncRNA from 1 species
CCCCGCCGGACCUCUCUGGACCGUCUGAUAGCCCCGCCGGACCUCUCUGGACCGUCUGAUACCCCCGCCGGACCUCUCUGGACCGUCUGAUACCCCCGCCGGACCUCUCUGGACCGUCUGAUAGCCCCUCCGGACCUCUCUGGACCGUCUGAUAGCCCCGCCGGACCUCUCUGGACCGUUGGACACAUCAUGGUGGUUUCUGUGUCACCCCUGGACUGAUAGGAUGGGGUGUGACCUGUGACUUACGUAAUGGAGAACAGCUGUACCCCCCAUUCACACUACAGGGGGUCUCCUGAAGUCCCUGUCUCUCUGUCCUUAGCCAUGCUGGAAGCCCUUUUUCUAUCUCCACUCCACUGACAGGGAGAUCAGUAUCUUGGUCUGUCUGUCCUCACAGAGAGACUGGGGCUGAAUAUGGGUCUGUCCUCACAGAGAGACUGGGGCUGAAUAUGGGUCUGUCCACACAGAGAGACUAGGGCUGAAUAUGGGUCUGUCCACACAGAGAGACUAGGGCUGAAUAUGGGUCAGUCCUCCUCACAGAGAGACUGGGGCUGAAUAUGGGUCAGUCCACACAGAGAGACUGGGGCUGAAUAUGGGUCUGUCCACACAGAGAGACUAGGGCUGAAUAUGGGUCAGUCCUCCUCACAGAGAGACUGGGGCUGAAUAUGGGUCAGUCCUCCACACAGAGAGACUAGGGCUGAAUAUGGGUCAGUCCUCCACACAGAGAGACUGGGGCUGAAUAUGGGUCAGUCCUCACAGAGAGACUAGGGCUGAAUAUGGGUCUGUCCACACAGAGAGACUAGGGCUGAAUAUGGGUCUGUCCACACAGAGAGACUAGGGCUGAAUAUGGGUCAGUCCACACAGAGAGACUAGGGCUGAAUAUGGGUCUGUCCACACAGAGAGACUAGGGCUGAAUAUGGGUCUGUCCACACAGAGAGACUAGGGCUGAAUAUGGGUCUGUCCACACAGAGAGACUAGGGCUGAAUAUGGGUCUGUCCACACAGAGAGACUAGGGCUGAAUAUGGGUCAGUCCUCCACACAGAGAGACUAGGGCUGAAUAUGGGUCUGUCCACACAGAGAGACUAGGGCUGAAUAUGGGUCUGUCCUCACAGAGAGACUGGGGCUGAAUAUGGGUCUGUCCACACAGAGAGACUGGGGCUGAAUAUGGGUCUGUCCACACAGAGAGACUAGGGCUGAAUAUGGGUCAGUCCUCCACACAGAGAGACUGGGGCUGAAUAUGGGUCAGUCCUCACAGAGAGACUAGGGCUGAAUAUGGGUCAGUCCUCCACACAGAGAGACUAGGGCUGAAUAUGGGUCAGUCCUCACAGAGAGACUAGGGCUGAAUAUGGGUCUGUCCACACAGAGAGACUAGGGCUGAAUAUGGGUCAGUCCUCCACACAGAGAGACUGGGGCUGAAUAUGGGUCUGUCCUCACAGAGAGACUAGGGCUGAAUAUGGGUCUGUCCACACAGAGAGACUAGGGCUGAAUAUGGGUCAGUCCUCCACACAGAGAGACUGGGGCUGAAUAUGGGUCUGUCCUCACAGAGAGACUAGGGCUGAAUAUGGGUCAGUCCUCCACACAGAGAGACUAGGGCUGAAUAUGGGUCAGUCCUCACAGAGAGACUAGGGCUGAAUAUGGGUCUGUCCUCACAGAGAGACUAGGGCUGAAUAUGGGUCAGUCCUCCACACAGAGAGACUGGGGCUGAAUAUGGGUCUGUCCUCACAGAGAGACUAGGGCUGAAUAUGGGUCUGUCCACACAGAGAGACUAGGGCUGAAUAUGGGUCUGUCCUCACAGAGAGACUAGGGCUGAAUAUGGGUCUGUCCUCACAGAGAGACUAGGGCUGAAUAUGGGUCAGUCCUCCACACAGAGAGACUAGGGCUGAAUAUGGGUCAGUCCACACAGAGAGACUAGGGCUGAAUAUGGAUCAGUCCUCCACACAGAGAGACUAGGGCUGAAUAUGGGUCAGUCCACACAGAGAGACUAGGGCUGAAUAUGGAUCAGUCCUCCACACAGAGAGACUAGCCUGCCCUGUUCUGCCAUGAGCCCCAGUCAGCCAUUCAGUCAGCCAGCCAGCUUGCCAGCCGGCCAGUUAGCCAGCCAGCCAGCCAGUCAGCUAGCCAGCCAGUCAGCCAGCCAGCCAGCCAGUCAGCUAGCCAGCCAGUCAGCCAGCCAGUCAGCCAGCCAGCCAGCCAGCCAGUCAGUCAGCUAGCCAGUCAGCCAGCCAGCCAGUCAACCAGCCAGCCAGUCAGUCAGCCACACUGGAUACAUAUUGUACAUCUAUUAACUUGUUCUGCGUACUGGUGCAGUCUUAACCUGCUGUUCAAUGUCUGCAUGAGGAUGUGAACAGGGUCCGUUUGCUUUUUUUUUAUAACGAGCUCCUUUUCUGUCUGGCACAAUCUGAAGACACCGUGUUGUGGUCGGACGUUUUAAACAGGACUUGUCUAGGACACCCAAGGACAGACGGGACAAGGGGGAGAAAAUGACGUUCUGAGUUUAAGUCCAGGACUUGAACACUUCAGGCACCGAGGACAAACAGGUGACAGGGGAUGAAGACUGUGUUUUUUUUCAUCUAGUGUGGUUUUGUGGUGAUGCUUCUCAAGAAUCCCGACCGGAGCCUGGUCCUCCCUGCCUCUGGCCACAACCCAAGUGUACUGACUACUGAUAUUAAACAGCCUGGACAUAGAAGUCUAUAUCUACUGAACGCAGACGGUUCAGUGCUUUCUCUGCCCAGGCCUCGACGUACCCAACACCUGAACUAUGCCCCUGAUGCAACGGACUGAACAACGGGUUGAGCUGUGACCUGGACCAUGUUCGCUCAAAUGGGACAAAAACAUUUAAACGGGUGGGGAGAGGUACUAUCAGAAUUUAGCUGAAAAAUGUAUUUUUGUUGUUUCUUUGUAUUUUGUCUCAUUGGUUGUUUUUCCUCCUUGUUUAGGAGCUGCUACGGUGUUUCCCAGACCCCAAGUCCUGUUCCCCCCUUUACCAAUGUUUCCCAGACCCCAUGUCCUGUCCCCCCCUUUACCAAUGUUUCCCAUGUCCUGUCCCCCCCUUUACCAAUGUUUCCCAUGUCCUGUCCCCCCUUUACCAAUGUUUCCCAUGUCCUGUCCCCCCUUUACCAAUGUUUCCCAUGUCCUGUCCCCCCUUUACCAAUGUUUCCCAUGUCCUGUCCCCGCCUUUACCAAUGUUUCCCAAGUCCUGUCCCCCCCUUUACCAAUGUUUCCCAAGUCCUGUCCCCAUGUCCUGUCCCCCCUUUACCAAUGUUUCCCAAGUCCUGUCCCCAUGUCCUGUCCCCGCCUUUACCAAUGUUUCCCAAGUCCUGUCCCCCCCUUUACCAAUGUUUCCCAUGUCCUGUCCCCGCCUUUACCAAUGUUUCCCAAGUCCUGUCCCCAUGUCCUGUCCCCGCCUUUACCAAUGUUUCCCAAGUCCUGUCCCCCCCUUUACCAAUGUUUCCCAAGUCCUGUCCCCGCCUUUACCAAUGUUUCCCAAGUCCUGUCCCCCCCUUUACCAAUGUUUCCCAUGUCCUGUCCCCGCCUUUACCAAUGUUUCCCAAGUCCUGUCCCCAUGUCCUGUCCCCCCCUUUACCAGUGUUUCCCAUGUCCUGUCCCCCCCUUUACCAAUGUUUCCCAUGUCCUGUCCCCCCUUUACCAGUGUUUCCCAUACUUGGUCUUGGGCCCCCCUUUGGGUGGAUGUUUAGUUUCUGCCCCCAGCACAACACAGCUGAUUCAAGUAACCUACUGGUCAUGAAGCUUUGAUCAACUGAAUCAGCUGUGUAAUGUGGGGGGGCCCCAGGACCCAGUUUGGGAAACAUUGCUAACAGAAAGGAGCUUUAGCACCAAACUGCAAGAUCAUCUUUUUAAUUUGAUUUUAAUGAGGACUGAUGAUGAUGAUGAUGAUGAUGAUGAUGGACUGAAUGAAAUGCUGAUGUCUUACUGUACCCUCGUUUCCACCCCCCACCACAACCCCCUGUCUUACUGUACCCUCGUUUCCACCCCCCCAACCCCCUGUCUUACUGUACCCUCGUUUCCACCCCCCCACCACAACCCCGUCUUACUGUACCCUCGUUUCCACCCCCCCACCACAACCCCCUGUCUUACUGUACCCUCGUUUCCACCCCCCCCACCACCACAACCCCCUGUCUUACUGUACCCUCAUUUUCACCCCCCCACCACAACCCCUGUGUUACUGUACCCUCGUUUCCACCCCCCCACCACAACCCCCUGUCUUACUGUACCCUCGUUUUCACCCCCCCACCACAACCCCCUGUCUUACUGUACCCUCGUUUCCACCCCCCCACCACAACCCCCUGUCUUACUGUACCCUCGUUUCCACCCCCCACCACAACCCCCGUCUUACUGUACCCCCCCUACCACAACCCCCUGUCUUACUGUACCCUCGUUUCCACCCCCCAACCCCCUGUCUUACUGUACCCUCGUUUCCCCCCACAACCCCCUGUCUUACUGUACCCUCGUUUCCACCUUGGUUGCGUCCCAAAUGCUGUUCCCUAAAUAGCCAGGGGACAUACCCAAAACAUUAAGAACACCUUCCUAAUAUUGACUUGGUGGAUUAUAUAUGACAUUUAAGCAGUCAGCUGUUGUAUUUAAACAUGUCCUUGUCCGAGACCUCUCAGUAUUGAGUUGGUGAGAAUAACAGGAUGUUUCUCUUCCGCUGCCCAUCAGAGACGAAUCGAUCUUGAGACGAGCUGCUCUUUAUGCUGAAUCAAGUCUUGAGACGAGCUGCUCUUUGUCUGGUCCCGUCUUAAUGGUGAACUGGUAGGGUGAAAGGAACACAAGCACAUCCAUCCUUGUGCCCUGGCAGGCUCACCGCUCUUCUGAUAGACAGUCAGUCUUACUCUCUCAGUUAGAACCUGUUGGAGCUUUGGCGUAUGUCCCAACUGGCACCCUAUUCCCUAUAUAGUGCACUACUUUUGACCGGAGCCAUAGGAAGUGCAUUAUUUAGGGAAUAGGCAGCCAGUUUGGAACACACAGCCUUUAAUACAAACUUCAUUGGUGAAGCAAUGGGUCUGUCAACCAACGGGAAGCUUGUAGUGACAGUCUUUAUAACAACUGAUGAAGGCUUUUUCAGUCCACCAUUUUGUUCCCCCUCAGCCCUCCUGACCUCAUCUCGUGAUGAAGGCUUUUUCAGUCCACCAUUUUGUUCCCCCUCAGCCCUCCUGACCUCAUCUCGUGAUGAAGGUUGUUUCAGUCCACCAUUUUGUUCCCCCUCAGCCCUCCUGACCUCAUCUCAUGAUGAAGGUUGUUUCAGUCCACCAUUUUGUUCUCCCUCAGCCCUCCUGACCUCAUCUCAUGAUGAAGGUUGUUUCAGUCCACCAUUUUGUUCCCCCUCAGCCCUCCUGACCUCAUCUCAUGAUGAAGGUUGUUUCAGUCCACCAUUUUGUUCCCCCUCAGGCCUCCUGACCUUCCUCAUGAUGAAGGUUGUUUCAGUCCACCAUUUUGUUCCCCCUCAGCCCUCCUGACCUCAUCAUCUCAUCAUCUCUCUGCUUAUUUUGAUGGCUUCACAACAGAGCCAUUGUGCCACUGACUAUUGAUGAUCAUCAAACAACAGUUUGUUUUAAUGAGAUACGAGUCCCCUAUUCAAUACAAUCAUCAAUCUUGCAAAUAUCCGCCUUUGGAUUUUAAUGCCGUAUCUUUUUUAAACUGUAUCCAUUUGAUUUAUGAUUGUAGAAAUCGUUUGUUUUAAAAUAAAGAGUUUGUGAACAACAUGUCCGUAUGUAAAACAUUUACGUUUACGUCAUUUAGCAGACGCUCUUAUCCAGAGCGACUUACAAAUUGGUGCAUUGACCUUAUGAUAUCCAGUGGAACAACCACUUUACAAUGGUACAUCUAUUGUACACACUUAGGGCUCUGGUCUAAAGUAGUGCACUAUAUAGGGAAUAGGGUGCCAUAGGGCCCUGGUCUAAAGUAGUGCAGUAUAUAUAGGGAAUAGGAUUCCAUAGGGCUCUUGUCUAAUGUAGUGCACUAUAUAUAUAUAUAUAUAUAUAUAGGGAAUAGGGUGCCAUAGGGCUCUGGUCUAAAGUAGUGCACUAUAUAUAGGGAAUAGGGUUCCAUAGGGCUCUUGUCUAAUGUAGUGCACUAUAUAGGGAAUAGGGUGCCAUAGGGCUCUGGUCUAAAAUAGUGCACUAUAUAUAGGGAAUAGGGUGCAAUAGGGCUCUGGUCUAAAAUAGUGCACUACAUAGGGAAUAGGGUGCCAUUUGGGGUGCAUCCAACCAUAUCAUGACCUUAGCAUCGUUGACUGUUACUGGACUGUCUGCCCUUCCUCUGAAUCAUCGUUACUGGACUGUCUGCUGUUCCUCUGAAUCAACGUUACUGGACUGUCUGCCCUUCCUCUGAAUCAACGUUACUGGACUGUCUGCCCUUCCUCUGAAUCAUCGUUACUGGACUGUCUGCCCUUCCUCUGAAUCAACGUUACUGGACUGUCUGCUGUUCCUCUGAAUCAACGUUACUGGACUGUCUGCCCUUCCUCUGAAUCAACGUUACUGGACUGUCUGCCCUUCCUCUGAAUCAACGUUACUGGACUGUCUGCCCUUCCUCUGAAUCAACGUUACUGGACUGUCUGCUGUUCCUCUGAAUCAUCGUUACUGGACUGUCUGCUGUUCCUCUGAAUCAACGUUACUGGACUGUCUGCCCUUCCUCUGAAUCAUCGUUACUGGACUGUCUGCCCUUCCUCUGAAUCAACGUUACUGGACUGUCUGCCCUUCCUCUGAAUCAACGUUACUGGACUGUCUGCCCUUCCUCUGAAUCAACGUUACUGGACUGUCUGCCCUUCCUCUGAAUCAACGUUACUGG